UACAGAGGGGGCAAGCGUUGUUCGGAAUUACUGGGCGUAAAGGGCGCGUAGGCGGCCUUCUAAGUCAGACGUGAAAUCCCCCGGCUUAACCUGGGAACUGCGUCUGAUACUGGAGGGCUUGAGUGCGGGAGAGGGAUGUGGAAUUCCAGGUGUAGCGGUGAAAUGCGUAGAUAUCUGGAGGAACACCGGUGGCGAAGGCGGCAUCCUGGACCGACACUGACGCUGAGGCGCGAAAGCUAGGGUAGCAAACGGG
rnacentral:rRNA from 1 species